rnacentral:lncRNA from 1 species
UCGGCCCAUAAACAUGUCGCAUGCCAUACUGCAACGGGUUUUGGAACCCAUGAACAUUCAUUUCAGCUAAAGACGGGAACAACCCACCGAUACCAGUAGAAAACGCAAAAUUCCCAAAUCUAGCAGACGCCAUAGGCGCAAACCCUCCAAACAUAGAAUUCGAAAAGUUGUUAAUAUCCGGAGGAGGAGCGGUCGCAGGUCUCUGUCCAGCUGGCCUGUGCGGGAUAUCAACGCCGGGUAUGCGUUUGGAUCUCGGGUCAGUUUGUUGUGUCUUCCCUCUGCCAUACAGAGGAAUCAGCUUCUCCUCUUAUAUUGCAUUCAAAAUCCCCAACAUCAUUGUCCCUUGAUGAAGAACUUUCUGGAAACCUCAUCGAUUCGU